GUAGGGAAUCUUCCACAAUGGGCGAAAGCCUGAUGGAGCAACGCCGCGUGUGUGAUGAAGGGUUUCGGCUCGUAAAACACUGUUGUAAGAGAAGAAUGACAUUGAGAGUAACUGUUCAAUGUGUGACGGUAUCUUACCAGAAAGGAACGGCUAAAUACGUGCCAGCAGCCGCGGUAAUACGUAUGUUCCAAGCGUUAUCCGGAUUUAUUGGGCGUAAAGCGAGCGCAGACGGUUAUUUAAGUCUGAAGUGAAAGCCCUCAGCUCAACUGAGGAAUUGCUUUGGAAACUGGAUGACUUGAGUGCAGUAGAGGAAAGUGGAACUCCAUGUGUAGCGGUGAAAUGCGUAGAUAUAUGGAAGAACACCAGUGGCGAAGGCGGCUUUCUGGACUGUAACUGACGUUGAGGCUCGAAAGUGUGGGUAGCAAACAGGAUUAGAAACCCCAGUAGUCC
rnacentral:rRNA from 1 species